GGUUGUGAGGGCGAUCUGGCUACAACAUCUGUCACCUCACUGAUCCCUAGGGUGAUCCGGCUGAUUUGUUGGGCUAGGCGGGUGUCUCCUUUCUCGCUCCCUGCUCCAUGUGUACCCUCCCUGCUCCACUGAAUGCUUGGUCAAAGAGCACGACCUUCCUGGACUAGAGGGGGAGUGCUUGCUGGCCCAGUGUGGGGGUUUGAUUCAGGUGUCCCCCAUAAACUUAGGUGUUCUGAAU
rnacentral:snRNA from 1 species